UCCUUUAGUGUAAUCAACGGAAUAAAAUUUAGCUUGAGCAUACCCACGUACAAAACGAAAAGCCCCAGUUCCACCAACAAUGGCCAUUUCUCUAACAGGUUCACUCAUGAUCAUAUUUCUACCCAAUAUGCUAAGUGUGCUUCCAUUGAAAUCUCCAUCAGUGAAUGCCAUGGUCAUCACCAUCAUUAGUCCCAUCUCCUCUUGUGAUAUUGAAGUGUAAAUUCCUUGAGCCUUACCCACAAGUUUCGAGUCACGUUCAGGACCAGCAGUCAAUGGGUCAUCCAUGGCCACAACGGUCCCGAAUGGCAACGCAUUUUUUACCUUGCCAUUGGGCUCAGCUACAAAUACCAUGCUAGGUUUUGGUCCUGACACGAUGUCGUGAAAGUAAAAGUGAAGGUGAGUGAAUUUCUCUUCUUGAAAACCCAACAUUGUUGGGGAUAGGUUUUGAUAGUAAUUAGUGGCAGUGGCAAGGGAUAUUAUAGAGAGGAAAGUAAGGUUCAAAGAAAUUAGAAGAGUUAUGGAGAAUGUUGAGGAUUUUGCCAUGGUUGAUGCGAAUGAACAAAGAAUGUAGUUUUUGUUGUUGAGGAUAAUGAACUAAGAAUGCUUAUUGCUUAUUUCAAUUCGUUGUAUACAUGCCUAUUUAUAAUAGGUGUGGCUGCUUUGUUCAUUUGUAUAUAUUGAUUUGUCUAAAGCUGAAGUUUGUUGACCAAAAACUUUUAGAUAUAUGUCAAAAUAUGGUGGAAAAAUGAUAGACGCCAGAAACAUGUAAAGCGUUGUCAACGAAACAUCCGAGAAAUAUAGUGGAGAAAAAAAUAUAACUCAAUCGUAUUCACUCAGACUAAUGACUUUUUUUUUUUUUUUUAUGGGAAACCAUCAUUUUUGACAUUUUGGCUUCCUAACAUUAGUGGUUGUUAACAUUAUACAUAGAGUUUAAACAAUCUUGCAUAACAAUGUCAUGUCUUCCUUUCAAUAAAAAAUAAAACAAUGUCAUGUCUUCUAAGUCAUGUUUUUUACUUCAUGAAUAUUGUAUUUAAGAGGAUUGAUUUUGCAAUCUAAAAAGGUCUAACGACACAACUUGUUAUUUGUCUGUCUUCUAUUCAUGUUAAUUAAAAACGAGUCUUUUAUUAUGCGGCAACUUGCAUGAGUGGUUGCGACAUCCUUUACUGUGUAUGGACAUCUCUGUAAUUUUUUUUUUUUUUUUUUGCGGCAGCUUGCAUUUGUUUUUGGUUUUGGUGACACCGUAAAAACUCUAGUUGGCCUCCUUUAGCACAUCUUGGAGAGUCACUUUCUAUGUGUUAAUAUAAUCUUAUUUUGACAUGUUAAAAAAAAAAAAAAAAAAGUCAACUAAAUCAAGCCUUCCUAUUAAAGAAAAAAGUGAACCAAAUACCACGCAUUUUUUAUGAGCCAACCGUAAAUAAAUUUUCUAAUUAGUGUUGCAUCAUUUGCACCUCUAGAAGAUAUGAGGUGGCUCAUAUUUUCGUCAUGGUGUGAAAAAGAUGUUUAAAAGGCGUAUAAAGAAUUUUUUUUCCGUCAUUCAAAUUCAAAUGCUGGAAAUUUUAUAAACGGGAGAGGAAUGUUAUUUUAUUCAACAGAGAAGAGAACUUAGCUAGCUUCCAGUGUUAUGGGGUGUGUAGGACUUGACCGAAAAUUUAAUAUUAGUGCCAAGCCUUUGGUUGGAGGCUGCUAUAUAGAUAUGAUUGUGGCCGGUACAUUGGACACGUACAAAACUCAAAGAAUAGAAAUCAAAUUUGAGUAUUAGAUAGACUAUUACUCCAUUAGAAUAGAAGAGUGGGGUAUUAGUGUAUUACAUUAAUAGAUUAUUAUAGUUAAAUAUAAUUUUAGUCUCCAAGACCAAGGCUUAAGAUUUUUAUGUCCCAAACAAAUAUCUUUUUAAUAAUUUUAAAUGUUUUUCUAUUUGUAUCUUUUGUUGUAAAAGAUUUAUUUAGUGUUAAGCUCAUGAGUACAUAACUUUUUAUGGUUUAAUGCUGGUAAGUGUAUUUGUUUGCAUUCAUUUUCUGCAAAUUCAAUACGGAAACUUUUAGUUAUGACGUUAAGGGUUGAGUCAUGAUGUAAUUUUAUUGAGUACGUCAAGGAUUGAAAACAACAAUUUUAAAUUUGUUUUUACAAAAAUAAUAAUAAUAACUGCAGAGAUUGAAUUGAAACAAAAAAUAUUAUAAGAAAUGAAGCCAAAAAAUUUCUAUAAUUGACAGAACUAAAAUCAAAUUUAAAUCCAUUAAGAUUGUUAUAACAUCUAAUCGAGUUGCAUAGAAAAGACCAACAAACUAUUAGUGUGUCGAAUAUGAACCACCCAAAAUGAUCCAAAGGUAAACAUUUUCCAUUAGUAAACAUAAAUCAUAAUAUAUAACAAAAUAUAGAAAAUAAUAUCUUGUUAAAAAUUACUAUAAACUAGGUCCUUACAAACUAUUAAAACAAUUAGGUUUUUUUUUUUUUUUACAGAAUAUUAAGACAUUUAGUUAUAUUUAUUUACAAUUGUAUCAUUAAAAAAUGUUGAACCUAUCUUAUCUAUCAUAUUAUUUAUCAUUUUUUACUACUCAUUUAUUAUUUAUUGUUAGUUAUAAAAGAUAUGUAAAAAAAAUUGUAGGCAUUUAAAAAAUUAUAAUUAAUAGAAUUGAAAAUUUGAAAUGAGUCAAACAAAAAGGACAACAAAUUUUUUAUUUAGCUAUCUUUUACAAAUAUUUUUCUUAAUAGUCCUCUUAAACUUGAAGAUGAACAACAUAACAAUUGAUCAUGCCGGAUCUGGAGAUCUCUAGUUGGUGAUGGUGAAUGCCUUUGAAGGUUGGAUCUUCGUCACUAGCAACCUUCUUCUUCAGAGGAGAGUUUGCAGUUUUCGUACAUACUUCCACAAUGAAGUCAAUAACUGGACAAUGAGCAUACUUGGACCAAUGUCAUGAGUUAAUGGAUUUAGGAUUUUAGGGUGAUAGAAGAGGUUUAGGGUUUUGCCCUUGAAUUGUUAACUGGACAAUUGUCCUCGAGGGACACAUAUAAACAUAUUAAAAGGCCAUCAUUUUAUUUGUCCUAAACGGUCUAUAUCUUUCCAUGGGGUCUUAAUCCAGUGAUAUUUAGGGUGAUUCCAUGCUAUGGUCCUUACAUAUAAGCUUUGAAGGGUACCUGGAUUCAGGCAUGGAUUGAACAUUGACCCAAUAUGGAACAACAACACAAGACAUCAUGAGUUUUUUUAAUAAUCGGAGAUCAUGAAAUAUAAGGAAACAUGAGAAGGGGAAACAAAACUGUAUUGGAUGCUCAACCCAGUUUUAACGGAAUUCAUGGGGAGGUUGAGGGUACCUCCGUACAUGGGAAUUGGUCAAAAUAUUUCUCCUUCGUUUUUUUUCUUCGUUGAAUUAAAACUAAAAAUAAAUAUAUUGAAUUUAUAAACGAAUGUGGUAUUACAUGUUUAUUUCACCUAUUUGACUUUCACUUUAGGCGAGAGUGUGUAACAGAAGCAUAAUAACAAUUUACUGAAUAACAAAUCAAAAUAUAAACUCUACUUUUAUGAAGCACCUAUAAGGCUAGACCUAACUAAUAAUGGAACAUAAAUAUGUCAUACUCCACAAUGGCAUCUCCUUUAGUGUAAUCAACGGAAUAAAAUUUAGCUUGAGCAUAACCACGUACAAAACGAAAAGCCCCAGUUCCACCAACAAUGGCCAUUUCUCUAACAGGUUCACUCAUGAUCAUAUUUCUACCCAAUAUGCUAAGUGUGCUUCCAUUGAAAUGUCCAUCAGUGAAUGUCAUGGUCAUCACCAUCAUUAGUCCCAUCUCCUCUUGUGAUAUAGAGGUGUAAAUUCCUUGAGCCUUACCCACAAGUUUUGAUUCACGUUCGGGUCCAGCCGUCAAGGGGUCAUCCAUCGCCACAACUGUCCCGAAUGGCAAGGCAUUUUUUACCUUGCCAUUGGGCUCAGCUACAAAUACCAUGCUAGGUUUUGGUCCUGACACGAUGUCGUGAAAGUAAAAAUGAAGGUGAGUGAAUUUCUCUUCUUGAAAACCCAGCAUUGUUGGGGAUAGGCUUUUAUAGUAAUUAGUGGCAGUGGCAAGGGAUAUUAUGGAGACGAAAGUAAGGUUCAAAGAAAUGAGAAUUGUGGAACAUGAUGAGAAUUUUGCCAUGGUUGAUGUGAAUGAACUAAGAAUGCUUUUUGUUGUUGUUGUUGAGGAUCGGAUAAUGAACUUAUAAGAAUGCUAUUACUAUGAAAAAUGUCUCUGAUCCGAUCAGUGGUAUAUUUCAAUUGGUUUGGAUACAUGCCUAUUUAUAUAAUAGGUGUGGCUGCUUCUUUCAUUUGUUUAUAAUAUUAUCUGUCUCAAGCUGAUGUUUCUUGACCAAAAACUUUAGAUAUAUGUCAAAAUACGGUAGAAAAAUGACAGACGCCAGAAACAUGUAAAAUGUUAGUUUUCUUAGCAAACGAAGCAUCCGAGAAAUAUAGUGAAAAAUUUAUAAGCUCAAUCAUAUUUUCUCAAAUUAAUUAUUAUUUUUUAGUAUAAAAUAAUUUGUCGUGUAAUCAAUAUGCUGAAACAAUUCUUCAUUGUUUGUGAGAUUAUGAAUUCGCAACCAUUUUCUGGAAAUCUAUUGGUUUUGUGGACCACCUAUUCUACCAAGGCGAUGACUUAUAAUAUGACUGGUUGCGGUAAGGAACGAUUGGCACCACUAUUUUUCUAUUUCUGGCUGCUUGUUGGUGGUUGUGGCGUGAGAGAAAUAAGUUGUAUUUUGCAAAUGAAUUGGUGUCUUCCUUCACCUUAAGGCACACCACUUUUAAUUAUAUGCUCAGUUGUUAUCGAAGUGUUUCCUUAAACAGGGGCAUGAAUCUGCCACGAGGUCGGUAAAGUGGAAUGUGUCCUAUGUGAAUGGCAUGAUUUUAUAUGUUGAUGGGUGCAGUCUUGGUAACCCCGGUGUCUCCGGGUUUGGCGGUUUGCUUCGUAAUGAUGAUGGUGCUUGGUAUUGCGGAUUUGCAGGUAAGAUUGGGUUUUCCAAUAUCCUGCAUGCAGAACUCUUGGCAGUUUAUCAUGGAUUGAGAUUGGCUUGGGAAUUUGGCAUGUCAGAGUUGGUGUGUUAUUAAGAUUCUAAAACAGCAAUCAAGUGGAUUAAGCAACCUGUUAACGGAAGGUAAUGUCUGUGUUGAUUACCUUGCAAAGAUUGAGGCUAGCUCUCAUGAGGCACGCCAGUCUUUUGUUGCACCUCCAGCUGGAAUCAGCAACCUCCUACUAGCAAAUGCGAGUGGGAUCUUUUUCCCUAGAUAGUUGUUUCUUCUUUUUGUUUUUCUUUUUGCAUUUUGUUACCAAAAAAUAAAUAAUGAUUUGAUAUGAGUAAAAUCAUUUAGGAUAAUUUUCAUUUCUAAAAAAAUGGGAUGACAUUAGUUAUAAUUGGGAAAGAAAAGUUAAAAAGUUUUGUAUUGAUCAAGAAUUCAAGACCCUCUCUAUUUUUUAAAGAAAUUGUGGGCUCUAUUUAUGAAAUGGAAAUACGCACUCAAGAAUUUAGUGGAUCUCAUAUUUAGCUGGACCUAUAUUUUGUGACUCAUCAAACUCCUUAAUGUGAUUUUUUCCGCUCAUUAACGAAACCAUCCAUUUCUUUGAGAAAUAAAGAUGAUAUUUUUACCAUCUUAAUCCAUUUGAUGGUACCCACCAAUUAAUAUCAUUUUUCGUGCUGAUAUAUCUUCAAAUGGAAUCAUUAAUUUCGUUUGAGAAAUGGAUAUGACCUUGUUGGAGCAAUAUUUAAGAAUGGUUCAAAAGUAUUUAAGCUACCGAGAAAAAUUACUGCCAUGAGUCGUCGACUAGGACACUCUUUUUAAAACUAUCAACUAUGACAUCCCAAUAUAAAACAACACAUCUACAAUUGUAUUUGAAUCAUACUACAUUGUAAGAUACUAAGAUCCAUUCUAGAAAUACACCUUUAAAAUGGUACUUAGACCACUUAAUAUGAUACCGAGACCACUCUAACUUCCGAAGGAACAAAUUAAUCGAAGGGGCAGAAAAGGAGAAGAAAGAAAAUCCGUUGAUAGAUGAGUUUUGGUGUGAAGAGAAGUUAGGGUGAGACAUUAUUUUAUUAGUGCAAGAGCCAAAGAGGCAACCAAAAUGGAGGGAUGGGAUCAGUUGACCAUCAUGGGAUCAACGACAUGAUCUCACCUCAUUAAGAAUUGGCGCAGAAAUGAGUUUGCAUUUGCAAAUCACAAGAGGACAAGAGGACUCACACGUUGGUGUUUUCAAACACAUGUUGAUGCGUGCAAACCUGUGACGAGAAGAAGACAUGUACCAAAUAAAAUUAAUUCCAAAAAAUUAAUUAAUUUAAGAUUUCGGAUCUUUAAAAAAUAAUACACAACUUAGUCCAAACUCAUGCCCAGAUCCGACCUGACGACAUCAUUGUCUUCACGUGUGUAGUGUUGAAAUUGAUUGCAUCAUCUCCCCUUUAAAAAAUUGGAUAUCUCUUUGGGGCAAGCCCCAAGAGCCCUUCCUCCAAUAUAUAAAUACUUGUGUUGUGAGAAGUAUCUCCAAUGUGGGACUUGUCGAAAUUUUUUAAUUCACACACAAACACACUUUUGUUCUUAAUUCAAUUUUUCACUUGAAUUUAAAAUAACUCGGAAGUUUCUUUUAAGAUUGUGCAUAAGUAGAUGUGUUUUGCAACUUGAACAAUUGUAUAGUGAAUAAGAUUCAGAUUUAUUAGAGUGACUCGUAAUCUUAAACUCUAUCUCUAAUAUCAAAACGUACACAAUAUUUUCUUAUGUGUAUUUUCAAAAAGUUUGUCCAUUAAGACCUUACAUAUCAAUCUUGAUUUAACAAAUGCUCUACGAAUUUUUCCUAGAAUUUCAUAGGAAUAGACCCUGACUUGCACAUUCACAAAGGUCCGUAUGUCAAGAGUACUGCUCUUAUAUCAGAGUAUUCCACUUUGCGUAAAUGUACGUAUGUCAAGGGUACUCUUGUAUCAAAGUACUCCACUCUACAUAGAGUAAAAAUCUCAUGAACAAUUUCCUUUAAUUCACGUCCUCUUUAUCGCUUUAGAAAUCAUGUUUUUAUGUUCUCCUUCUGUUACCUCACAACAUAUGUUUAAUCGCCUACUAAAAGCAUAAGUGAAUAGUUUCAUUGUUGAAUAAAAUAUUACAGAAGCAGAUAUAAUGUUUAAACCCACACACAAAAACUUAUAUAUGUUAAAAAAAUCACUAAACAAAAUAACUAAAAAAUAUGUCUUCAAAGAUAACUUUUCACUAGUAUGUAUAGUACGCUAUACCGACUCGUUAAAAUAGAAAUGGAAUAUCACGAGACUCACAAGUCACAAUGCUAGCAAUUCAAAUAAUGGUCCUUUGUCCCUUUGGAGGAAACACUAUAAUGAGUCUGAAGAUAUCUAUUUCUUUAGUGGUAUAUUAAAGUGACAAUAAUUAACAAUGUAUACUGAAUUUAAUAACCAAUGUGGUAUUACAAUGUUUAUUUCAUCGGUUUGCCUUUCACAUUGGGUGAGAGUUUGACAAGAACAAAAUAAUAAUAAAUGUAAAAUAAUCUCUACUUUUAUGAAGCACCUAUGCCUAACUAAUAAUGGAACACAAAUAUGUCAUAUUCUACAACGGCAUCUCCUUUUGUAUAAUCAACCGAAUAAAACUUAGCCUGAGCAUAUCCACGUACGAAACGAAAUGCCCCGGUUCCACCAACUAUGGCCAUUUCUCUAACAGGUUCACUCAUGAUCAUGUUUCUACCCAAUAUGCUAAGUGUGCUUCCAUUAAAAUGUCCAUCAGUGAAUGCCAUGGUCAUCACCAUCAUUAGUCCCAUCUCCUCUUGUGAUAUAGAAGUGUAAAUUCCUUGAGCCUUACCCACAAGUUUCGAGUCACGUUCGGGCCCAGCCGUCAAUGGAUCGUCCAUGGCCACAACCGUCCCGAAUGGCAACGCAUU
rnacentral:lncRNA from 1 species